rnacentral:tRNA from 1 species
AUGUUUUUAGUAUAUAGAGUACACUUACCUUCCAAGUAAGAAGAUUAUUAAUUAAAAAACAUA